AGGAUAAUAGUUAACCAUAACAUUUAACUUGCAUUUAAAAAGUAUUGAUCAUAAAUCAAUUUAUCUU
rnacentral:tRNA from 1 species